rnacentral:lncRNA from 1 species
CUCUAAUUGUUACCUUAAAUUUUCCUCUCCAUCCAAUUUACUCACCAUGAGUUAUAAUUGAGAAAUUUGAGCCAAUAUGACAUCCUUGAUAUUCAUUCUUUGUGGUGUUCUAUUCUAUAGAAAUGUUAAUUGAUUUAUGUCUAUUGAAACUGGAACUUCAGCGUCUACCUUGAUGGCUAAAUAAAUUGGAACCUGCUUUGGUAUAAUCUCUAGUAUAGCCUCCCGUCCCAACAAGUUACUUGAUUCUUUAAUUUCAUGCACCACUACCCUUGGACUAGCUAUCAAUGUUGUUAAACUCCGAAUACUUCAUUGACGCACUGAAAAAGGCAUAUUUUUCUCCCUUACUGGCACUGUUUGAUUCAAUAUAUAUGUAGCUAUGGAGUACAUAUAAUUGAAGCAAAGCAAAGAUGCAAAUUUUCUUGUCUUUUGCUUAGUUCCCAUCCCCGCAUGGAUUGUAGUAGCUACAAAAGCUAUCCAUUUAAACACCAUACCUUUCAAUGUUCCUACUAUAGCAAAUAGUAGUCGUUUAGACAUGUACGUGGUGUGUUGAUUUAAGCCUAACCGGUUUUGAAUGAAAUGCAUAUAUUCCAUAAGCUUUAGUGUAAGUGCCUCUACUAUUUGUUAACCUUGAUUCUUCUUGAAUGACAACAUACCAUCUUUGAAA